UACGAAGGGAGCUAGCGUUGUUCGGAAUAACUGGGCGUAAAGGGCGUGUAGGUGGAUAUAUGCGUUAGAUGUGAAAGCCCCGGGCUCAACCUGGGAAUGGCAUUUAAUACGGUAAAUCUAGAGUGCGAGAGGGGAAAGCGGAAUGGCGAGUGGAGCAGUGAAAUGCAUUGAGAUUCGCUAGAACACCAGAGGCGAAGGCGGCUUUCUGGCUCGUAACUGACACUAAGACGCGAAAGCGUGGGGAGCAAACAGG
rnacentral:rRNA from 1 species